rnacentral:rRNA from 1 species
AGUGAACGCUGGCGGUAGGCCUAACACAUGCAAGUCGAACGGCAGCACGGUAAGAGCUUGCUCUUACGGGUGGCGAGUGGCGGACGGGUGAGGAAUACAUCGGAAUCUACUUUUUCGUGGGGGAUAACGUAGGGAAACUUACGCUAAUACCGCAUACGACCUACGGGUGAAAGCAGGGGAUCUUCGGACCUUGCGCGAUUGAAUGAGCCGAUGUCGGAUUAGCUAGUUGGCGGGGUAAAGGCCCACCAAGGCGACGAUCCGUAGCUGGUCUGAGAGGAUGAACCGGCCAACGGGAAAGGAGAACAGGGCCAGACCUCGUGGGGAGGGAGCAGGGGGGAAUGUUGGAAAAGGGGGGAAAGGCUGAACCAGACAUUCCGGGGGGGGGAAGAAGGGCUUUGGGUUGGAAAGCCUUUUUUGUGGGAAAAAAAAGCAAGAGGUUAAAACCCCGCUUUUUGGGAGGGAACAAAAGAAUAAGCACCGGCUAACUUGGGG